UUUUUUUUGUAUUUUG
rnacentral:sRNA from 1 species